rnacentral:tRNA from 1 species
GUCGCGGUGGCUAAGCGGCAAAGCGCUUGGCUUCCGAACCGGGGGUCCCGGGUUCGAAUCCUGGUGAAGACU